CCUACGGGAGGCAGCAGUGAGGAAUAUUGGUCAAUGGACGAGAGUCUGAACCAGCCAAGUAGCGUGAAGGAUGACUGCCCUAUGGGUUGUAAACUUCUUUUAUAUGGGAAUAAAAUGUUCCACGUGUGGGAUUUUGUAUGUACCAUAUGAAUAAGGAUCGGCUAACUCCGUGCCAGCAGCCGCGGUAAUACGGAGGAUCCGAGCGUUAUCCGGAUUUAUUGGGUUUAAAGGGAGCGUAGGUGGAUUGUUAAGUCAGUUGUGAAAGUUUGCGGCUCAACCGUAAAAUUGCAGUUGAAACUGGCAGUCUUGAGUACAGUAGAGGUGGGCGGAAUUCGUGGUGUAGCGGUGAAAUGCUUAGAGAUCACGAAGAACUCCGAUUGCGAAGGCAGCUCACUGGACUGCAACUGACACUGAGGCUCGAAAGUGUGGGGAUCAAACAGGAUUAGAUACCCCAGUAGUC
rnacentral:rRNA from 1 species